rnacentral:misc_RNA from 1 species
AAUUCUCAACCUUAUCAAUUAGCUUUGAUAUUGGCUUGGAUUGUGGGGGUUGCUGGCGACAAACCAUUGUCGGCUCCCCUUAAAUGCAUUAGCUGGUGUUUCCCUCCUUGCUAUUAUUGGUGUGAUAAUUAUCUACGCCAUGCUUGGUUUUAACACUGCUUCUAACCGUCUGUUGAUUCAGACAAUACAUGACC